UAUAUAUAAGUGUAUCUUGCACAAAAAAAUUUGAAUUUUUUAGAAAUAAUUUUUAAAUUAUUAUUAUAUAA
rnacentral:tRNA from 1 species